AUUUAAAUAGUUUAAUUAAAAUAUUAAUUUGUGGAGUUAGUGAUAUAACUGAGUUAUUUUAAAUC
rnacentral:tRNA from 1 species